AGGGCUUGACAUCCCACGGACAGAUGUAGAGAUACAUCUUUCCCUUCGGGGACUGUGGUGACAGGUGGUGCAUGGUUGUCGUCAGCUCGUGUCGUGAGAUGUUGGGUUAAGUCCCGCAACGAGCGCAACCCUUAUUGUUAGUUGCUACGCAAGAGCGGUCUAGCGAGACUGCCGUUGACAAAACGGAGGAAGGUGGGGACGACGUCAAAUCAUCAUGCCCCUUAUGUCCUGGGCCACACACGUACUACAAUGGUGGUCAACAGAGGGAAGCAAUGCCGCGAGGCGGAGCAAAUCCCUAAAAGCCAUCCCAGUUCGGAUCGCAGGCUGCAACCCGCCUGCGUGAAGUUGGAAUCGCUAGUAAUCGCGGAUCAGCAUGCCGCGGUGAAUACGUUCCCGGGCCUUGUACACACCGCCCGUCACACCAUGAGAGUCGGGAACACCCGAAGUCCGUAGCCUAACCGCAAGGGGGGCGCGGCCGAAGGUGGGUUCGAUAAUUGGGGUGAAGUCGUAACAAGGUAACCGU
rnacentral:rRNA from 1 species